rnacentral:rRNA from 1 species
AACGCCGCGUGAGUGAAGAAGGGUUUCGGCUCGUAAAGCUCUGUUGUUAAAGAAGAACGUGGGUGAGAGUAACUGUUCACCCAGUGACGGUAUUUAACCAGAAAGCCACGGCUAACUACGUGCCAGCAGCCGCGGUAAUACGUAGGUGGCAAGCGUUAUCCGGAUUUAUUGGGCGUAAAGCGAGCGCAGGCGGUCUUUUAAGUCUAAUGUGAAAGCCUUCGGCUCAACCGAAGAAGUGCAUUGGAAACUGGGAGACUUGAGUGCAGAAGAGGACAGUGGAACUCCAUGUGUAGCGGUGAAAUGCGUAGAUAUAUGGAAGAACACCAGUGGCGAAGGCGGCUGUCUGGUCUGUAACUGACGCUGAGGCUCGAAAGCAUGGGUAGCGAACAGGAUUAGAUACCCUGGUAGUCCAUGCCGUAAACGAUGAUUACUAAGUGUUGGAGGGUUUCCGCCCUUCAGUGCUGCAGCUAACGCAUUAAGUAAUCCGCCUGGGGAGUACGACCGCAAGGUUGAAACUCAAAAGAAUUGACGGGGGCCCGCACAAGCGGUGGAGCAUGUGGUUUAAUUCGAAGCUACGCGAAGAACCUUACCAGGUCUUGACAUCUUCUGCCAACCUAAGAGAUUAGGCGUUCCCUUCGGGGACAGAAUGACAGGUGGUGCAUGGUUGUCGUCAGCUCGUGUCGUGAGAU